ACGGAAGGCAGCAGUGGGGAAUAUUGCACAAUGGGGGAAACCCUGAUGCAGCAACGCCGCGUGAAGGAUGAAGGCCCUUGGGUCGUAAACUUCUGUCCUUGGGGAAGAUAAUGACGGUACCCUUGGAGGAAGCCCCGGCUAACUACGUGCCAGCAGCCGCGGUAAUACGUAGGGGGCAAGCGUUAUCCGGAAUUAUUGGGCGUAAAGAGUACGUAGGCGGUCUAUUAAGCGCAGGGUCUAAGGCUACGGCCUAACCGUAGUUCGCCCUGCGAACUGGCAGACUUGAGUGCAGGAGGGGAAAGCGGAAUUCCUAGUGUAGCGGUGAAAUGCGUAGAUAUUAGGAGGAACACCAGUGGCGAAGGCGGCUUUCUGGACUGUAACUGACGCUGAGGUACGAAAGUGUGGGGAGCAAACAGGAUUAGAUACCCUGGUA
rnacentral:rRNA from 1 species